GAUGAAGAAACGUAGCGAAAUGCAAUACUUGGUGUGAAUUGCAGAAUAUCGUGAACCAUUAAGUCUUUAAACGUAAGUUGCGCUCGAAGCCAUUAGGUCAAGGGCACGCCUGCCUGGCUGUCACACAUCGUUACCCUAAUGCCAACAUCCAUUGUUAGCCACGGUGUAGGGCGUAUGCUGACCUCCUGCGAGCGGGGUCUCGUGGGUGGUUGAAAAUCGAGUUCGCAGUAGAGUGUACCUUGAUAAAAUGGUGGAUGGGCGAUGCCCGAGGCCAAUCACAUGCGACUCUGUCCAACUUGGACUCCUGGACCCCUUCGACGUCUCCAGACACUCUUUAGCAAGACCUCAGGUUAGGUGGGGCUACCCACUGAGUUUAAGCAUAUCAAUAAGCGGAGGA
rnacentral:misc_RNA from 1 species